GAGCAAGAUACUGGGAUGAUGAUGCCAUGGUUGCUGUCAUUCUUGGGACUGGAACCAAUGCUUGCUAUGUAGAACGUGUGGAUGCUAUUCCUAAGCUGGCAAAAAGGAUGUCUAAGUCUCCAAUAACGAUUGUGAAUACCGAAUGGGGAGCUUUCUCAAAUGGCCUUCCUUUAACUGAGUUUGAUAGAGAAAUGGAUGCCGAGAGCAUUAACCCUGGUGAGCAGAUUUUUGAAAAGACCAUCUCUGGUAUGUACCUUGGGGAAAUUGUGAGACGGGUGCUGGUCAAAAUGGUCAAGGUUGGGGGCUUAUUUGGUAGCAGCUAUGUUCCGGAAAAGCUAGUCACUCCAUUUGUGCUGAGGACACCUGAUAUAUGUGCCAUGCAGCAGGAUACAUCAAGAGAUCUUGAAGCUGUUGAGUCUGUCCUCUAUGAUGUAGCUGGGGUAAAAUCCGAUCUAAGUGCAAGGAAAACAGUCGUGGACAUUUGCGAUACUAUUGCAAAACGAGGGGGUCGUCUAGCUGGUGCAGGAAUUGUUGGUAUAUUACAGAAAAUGGAGGAAGAUUCUAAAGGUCUCAUCUUUGGUAAAAGAACAGUUGUAGCAAUGGAUGGAGGCUUAUAUGAGCACUAUCCUCAGUACAGAGGAUACCUCCAAGAAGCUGUCACAGAGCUACUAGGCUCGGAAAUUUCGAAAAAUGUAGUGAUAGAACAUUCAAAAGAUGGAUCUGGUAUUGGAGCUGCAUUAUUAGCUGCUGCAAAUUCAAAGUAUGAACAUGAUGAUUAAGGGAAAAGCUAAAUUUCAUGUGUUCAAAGGUUGGCUUGAGGAAAAAUACAUGAGCAUUUGUAAUUUAGAAUGUUCUAAAGAAGGAUUGAUGAUUGGAUUUCUCAUUCUUUUAAAUAGAGGCUCUUGUUUGUGAUGCUAUUUUUGUACUCCCAUUAAUGAAGUACAAAGAAGUGAGGAUUUAUAUAGCCAAUUCCAAUUUAUUUGGGAUCGAGGCGCAGUUGUUAUUGUAUUAUAUGCAGCAGUGACUUAUUUUUGUGAUAAAAAGCAGAAGUAUCAGUAAAUAUAAAACAUCUUGUUUGUUUUGUAAUUGUGAAAUAAGCACAAAUAAAACGCUUUGGACAAA
rnacentral:misc_RNA from 1 species